CAACAACAGCCCUGAUUUUAUUGCAGUAAUAAAAACUGAGAGCUAGAUGGCCCUAGGAGAAAAACAUAUGUAGGAUAUGUUUUUCUUUCACUCAGCCACUAUUUACAUCUUUUGGCAUAGUCUCAUCUAAACAGUUUGCCUUUGUCACAGUCUUAUCCACACGUACACAUUCCAAGAUGGAUAAAAGCUUACAACUUUAUUAGCAACUAACCACAGGUAAAUCGAUUUGAAAAAUGCUUUAACUGCACUUUUAGAAGAAUAUUUGUCCAUACAAAAGUGAAAAUGUGUUUUCAUGAUAAAAAAUAAGAUCUAAAUAAUAUUUUAUUUGAAUUUAUCUUAUAUGCUUUAGUAAAUGUUUAUUGGUUGUUGGUGGUGUGAACUGCUAGGCAGUCAACAUUGAAAAUGAAUGCAGACUCUUGUUAGUCCAUCUGAUUUGGGCAACAGUGAAGAAUGUAAUUGUACUGACUCAAAAAAGUAUAGUUUAUAUAAAAGGACCUGCUUGAUUUUAAAGUGAAUGUAGAUUCACUAUUGAAUGUAGAUAACAAUAGAAAAUAAUCUU
rnacentral:lncRNA from 1 species